rnacentral:lncRNA from 1 species
UCUAUUUGGGCACAUUUCACAUUCGAGUUUCAGAUUCUCUCAAAUUGUUCUAAAAAUAAAUAACAAUAAAAUUUAGUAGAAACAGUAAGGACAAUUUAGAAACUAAAAGAAAUAUUACCUGCAAAGUGCAAAGUCGUGAACUUUUCUCGGACUCCGAUUCCGAGUCUGAAUGGAAAGAUUGCUACCAGUUGCUCCAACUUGCCUUGUUGAGUUUGCCGUCUUCUAUUUGGGGGAGCAUAGUGUGGUGAAGAAAAGAGAGAUCCAAGGACGACUAUUUUAUUGGGAUUUGAGGUAAAAAAAAAUUUGAACAUAUAAAAAUGACAAGCAGAAAGUUUCAUCUUUACAGUGCAUUCAGAAACAUAUUGGAGGCAGAGAAAUG